rnacentral:rRNA from 1 species
AUACGGAGGGUGCAAGCGUUGUCCGGAAUCACUGGGCGUAAAGGGCGCGUAGGCGGCGCAGUAAGUAGGGGGUGAAAUCUCACGGCUCAACCGUGAAACUGCCUCCUAAACUGCUGUGCUUGAGCACGGUAGAGGCAGAUGGAAUUCCCGGUGUAGCGGUGGAAUGCGUAGAUAUCUGGAAGAACACCAGUGGCGAAGGCGGUCUGCUGGGCCGUUGCUGACGCUGAGGCGCGACAGCGUGGGGAGCAAACAGGAUUAGAUACCCCAGUAGUCC